CAUUAGCCACGAUGGAGCCGAUAUCCUUUGUGAGGAACGAGCAAAGGUAAAGGUGAGAGCGGGAACUAUG
rnacentral:misc_RNA from 1 species